rnacentral:snoRNA from 1 species
UUGCUGAUGAUGUGGACAAUCCUGAAGCAGAACCUUGAAGCGUUCCCAAGCAUGAUAAAUAUUUUCAUCAGGUUUUUAUUUAAAAUUCACUAUCUUAUUGUGAAGUCU